AUGCCUAGAUGGAUAUUCUGAUUUUAGGCUGAUCAAAUGGUGUUGUCAGAGUCUUGCCCAGUGUAUGUAGAAGUACAGAUUCAGGAUUAUCCAUAGUUUAUUUGGAUCACUUUAUCCUGGAGAUUUUCCAUUUUUAGUCCUACAGGGGUUGCACUAUUUUUGCGCAGAAAAAGAAGACUUCACUAGUUCUCCAGAACUGGUCAGAACCUGCUGAAUACCACCUCUGGUUUCUCUCCUCCGGCACAAAGAAAAAAAUCUGUUGCAAUUCCACAAUGGUAUCAGGAAAGGCAUCCAGCACUCAGCUCCAUCUUGUCGCCAUCUUGUCGCCCUGACACUACUCUGAAUUAAGGGACUACAGGAUCGUAAAAGGAAAGAGGGAAAGUAAGAGCAAAGAAUAACAAGAAGAAUAGCAACAGCAGCAGCAAAUAUUCCAUCAGUUGUUUUGCAGGUCUGAUUCCACUUAGUCAGACUGAAGUAUCUGCUGGAGGUGUUGAUUUUAAUACUAAAAAAAGAAGAAGUUAUUAUUGUAACAGAGCAUUCCUGGAAUAGCCUGUCUGAAUUGCCAAAAGGGAUAAAAAGGCUGGUUUGGGAACUAACUAUGCACUUUGCCUUGUGGAGAAAGGAGUUCCAUUUUCCCUCUUCUUUGAGCAGUAAAAUACUUGACAUUGUAAAGUCUGCCUGUAUUUAAACAGGGAGAAAUAUUAAGAUGGCUGCAUUUACUCCAGUUAUUGGGCUGAUAUUCUUGAUUACCACUAGAAACUCUGUUCCUUCAGCUGAAUUUUCUCAUUGCCACCAUAUUAAAGAAGAAAUGGAAUAGGUUGAGUAUUAUGGGAGCAUAACUCAUGCUCUUAUAUACAGAACUGGAAUGGAAAAGUAACAUACCUCACCUUCAUUUUGUGAACAUUCUGUUCCUCUCUCUAUAGAUCAGCGGUGGGUUGCCCCCGGUUCAGACCGGUUCGCAAGAACUGGUAGUAAAACCAGCGGGAGGCUGCACCCACUGACCCGGAUGUCAUUAUAGGUGAUCUGUGCAUCCGCAGAAGCUUCUGCUUAAAAGUUGGUUGGAGCUGGAUUCAAUGGUUAACAGGAUGUUGGCAUGGAGAAUGGAAGGAGCUCCUUCUUUUGAUACUUUGGAAGCCUCUUUUCACACAUUGUGUGAUUUGUAGAAUGAAAUUGCCAAAAUAUAAGAAUGAUGCAACGUGACCUCAGUAAGAAGGCCUGGUAUGGCAAGGAGGUUCUCAGAUAGGCUGCAUGGACCUGUCAGCAGUGGAAGAAAACUGUUGAAGGUAAGUGGCACGCAGCAGGUCCUGUGCAGCACAAGGCUGGGUGCAUUUAUCAGUGAGAACGGUGGCAUAUGGGCUGAAGUUGAGGCCUGGGGAUGGUGGCAACUGCUUCAGACUGAUAGGGCCUUGUGAUCAACUUCAUGCCCAGCCCUAAUGCAGCUGCUGAAUACCACUAUUCAGGGUGAACAAAAGGGCAUAGAGGAUGGAGGGGAGGAAAUAGGCAGAUGGGGGAAGAGUGGCAGAGCUUGUAAAUGCAAGCAGCCUACCAAACACCCAAAUUUUGUUGAUAUGACUGCAGGGGCACUGCAGCAGUUAUAACUUCAGGCACAGGUUGUAAGUCCCUUUUCAUUCAGUGCCAUUGUAAUUUCAAAUGAGCGUAAAUCAAAGAUUACCUGUGGUGUUUAGGAGAUUUCCUUUCUUACUAUUCGCAAAGUCACGCUCAUCUUUUUCAUGUCUGCUUCAACAAAAUUUUAGUCCUUGAAUAUAGGGCAAAUCGCAUCUUAUUUUUCAGAAUUUAGUUUGGAAUACAAAACUUCUUGUUUUAAAUGCAUUUUUUCUCAUGUCUUUGAAGUUUAGCCACAUAUCUACAGUGUUCUUGCUUUUCAUCUUUAUAUAUUCUAUCUCUAGUGCUCGUGUGAUCUGCAUGUUAACAAGCAUUUAAAUAAGAUAUGAUGUGUCAAUCCUGUUGCAGUUAGAAUAAGAUUGAGCUGCAGUAUUAAAAAAAUCUCUUCCACAGGUCCUUUUUCCUGUGUGUAUGAUUCUAUAUUAAAAUGGAAAUGAAUAAGGAAAAUA